UACGGGGGGGGCAAGCGUUGUUCGGAAUUACUGGGCGUAAAGCGUGCGUAGGCGGCUCUUCAAGUCGAGUGUGAAAGCUCCAGGCUUAACCUGGGAAUUGCGCUCGAUACUGUUGAGCUAGAGUGUGGAAGGGGCUACUGGAAUUCCGUGUGUAGCGGUGAAAUGCGUAGAUAUACGGAGGAACACCUGCGGCGAAGGCGGGUAGCUGGGCCGUAACUGACGCUGAGGAGCGAAAGCAUGGGGAGCGAACAGG
rnacentral:rRNA from 1 species